GUGUCAGCAGCCGCGGUAACACGUAGGGACCAAGCGUUGUCCGGAUUUAUUGGGCGUAAAGAGCUCGUAGGCGGUUCAGUCAGUCGGGUGUGAAAUCUCCGGGCUCAACCCGGAGGGGCCACCCGAUACUGCUGGACUAGAGUUCGGUAGGGGAGCGGGGAAUUCCUGGUGUAGCGGUGAAAUGCGCAGAUAUCAGGAGGAACACCGGUGGCGAAGGCGCCGCUCUGGGCCGACACUGACGCUGAGGAGCGAAAGCGUGGGUAGCAAACAGGAUUAGAUACCCUGGUAGUCC
rnacentral:rRNA from 1 species